GCCCAGGUGGCGGAAUGGUAGACGCGCUAGUUUCAGGUACUAGUAAGCGCAAGCUUGUGGAAGUUCGAGUCUUCUCCUGGGCA
rnacentral:tRNA from 1 species